UACGUAGGGUGCGAGCGUUAAUCGGAAUUACUGGGCGUAAAGUGUGCGCAGGCGGCCGAGCAAGUCGAGUGUGAAAUCUCCAGGCUUAACUUGGGAACUGCGCUCGAAACUACUUGGCUAGAGUGUGGCAGAGGGAGGUGGAAUUCCACGUGUAGCGGUGAAAUGCGUAGAGAUGUGGAGGAACACCGAUGGCGAAGGCGGCCUUCUGGACGGAUACUGACGCUGAGACGCGAAAGCGUGGGGAGCAAACAGG
rnacentral:rRNA from 1 species